GUGGGGAAUAUUGGACAAUGGGCGAAAGCCUGAUCCAGCCAUGCCGCGUGUGUGAAGAAGGUCUUCGGAUUGUAAAGCACUUUAAGUUGGGAGGAAGGGCAGUAAGUUAAUACCUUGCUGUUUUGACGUUACCGACAGAAUAAGCACCGGCUAACUUCGUGCCAGCAGCCGCGGUAAUACGAAGGGUGCAAGCGUUAAUCGGAGUUACUGGGCGUAAAGCGCGCGUAGGUGGUUUUGUAAGUUGGAGGUGAAAUCCCCGGGCUCAACCUGGGAACUGCCUCCAAAACUGCAUGACUAGAGUACGGUAGAGGGUAGUGGAAUUUCCUGUGUAGCGGUGAAAUGCGUAGAUAUAGGAAGGAACACCAGUGGCGAAGGCGACUACCUGGACUGAUACUGACACUGAGGUGCGAAAGCGUGGGGAGCAAACAGGAUUAGAAACCCCUGUAGUCC
rnacentral:rRNA from 1 species